rnacentral:lncRNA from 1 species
GGUGGACAGGUUUCAGCAGAGCUUCCAGACUAAACAGACUAAGAAGAAGGACCUGGCUACCCACAUCUGAGAAAAUUGGACAUGAAAACCCUAUGAAUAGCAGCGGAGUAUUAUCUGAUGUAGCGCCGGAAGUGAGAGGAUGGCACAAGAAGACCAGGCAGGGUUGCUCUCUGCUGUACACAGGGUCGCUAGGAGUCAGAAUCAACUCGACAGCACUAACAACAAAAUACAAUUCCUGGCAAAGCUCUUUAUCUGAAAUUUUAUUCAUUAUCAUAAUACUUUGGAUUUCACAGGAAAAACAAAAGUACCAUGAAUUUUCCCUGGACGUAUGUCUGCUCAACUAGAGACUACAUUUGUCAGCUCCACCUGAAGCUUGGUUGAGUCCUGAAAGAUGAGAGAGAGCCAGCAUGUGAACGGCAAUGAGGACCAAGUUGCUGGCAGGAAAAAAACAAGUGCAAAACUCAGAAGCAUCAGACAGCUUGGCAAAUGGUAGAAGAAUAUAUAGGCAGGUUUUGGGGGAAGGUCAUCAAGAAGACAAGACCACCAGUUGACCUGCGAGCUGGACCUAACAAUUGGGAGACCCCCACCCGCUUCCCGUCUUUGGAAUGUGCAUUGCCUUCCCUACUCUCAGAAGCUGCCCUAAGGUACAGCCCUGAGAUAGCAAUGUGGUAAUGAGGCUAUCUGGACUGGGUGCAUGACUAAACCCUCCCAGGGCCCGUGUAUACGUGACUGAAUCCAGCUAAGGCCUCUAUAAACUUUUAAGAUUUGGAAGGUGGGUGCGGAAAACUACUUGUAUUGCAGCUGCCCAGACAAGUCUUGUAAGUUCCUUGGUCAUUAAAAC